rnacentral:rRNA from 1 species
UGGGGAGUGACGUCAAGUCAGCAUGGCCUUUAUGUCCAGGGCUACACACGUGUUACAAUGGUCGGUACAGAGGGCAGCUACCUGGUGACAGGAUGCUAAUCUCGAAACCGGUCUCAGUUCGGAUCGAAGUCUGCAACUCGACUUCGUGAAGCUGGAUUCGCUAGUAAUCGCGCAUCAGCUAUGGCGCGGUGAAUACGUUCCCGGGCCUU